UACGGGGGGGGCAAGCGUUGUUCGGAAUUACUGGGCGUAAAGGGCUCGUAGGCGGCCAACUAAGUCAGACGUGAAAUCCCUCGGCUUAACCGGGGAACUGCGUCUGAUACUGGAUGGCUUGAGUUUGGGAGAGGGAUGCGGAAUUCCAGGUGCAGCGGUGAAAUGCGUAGAUAUCUGGAGGAACACCGGUGGCGAAGGCGGCAUCCUGGACCAACACUGACGCUGAGUGAGCGAAAGCCAGGGGAGCAAACGGG
rnacentral:rRNA from 1 species